rnacentral:rRNA from 1 species
UACGGGAGGCAGCAGUGGGGAAUCUUGCGCAAUGGGGGGAACCCUGACGCAGCGACGCCGCGUGCGGGACGGAGGCCUUCGGGUCGUAAACCGCUUUCAGCAGGGAAGAGUCAAGACUGUACCUGCAGAAGAAGCCCCGGCUAACUACGUGCCAGCAGCCGCGGUAAUACGUAGGGGGCGAGCGUUAUCCGGAUUCAUUGGGCGUAAAGCGCGCGUAGGCGGCCCGGCAGGCCGGGGGUCGAAGCGGGGGGCUCAACCCCCCGAAGCCCCCGGAACCUCCGCGGCUUGGGUCCGGUAGGGGAGGGUGGAACACCCGGUGUAGCGGUGGAAUGCGCAGAUAUCGGGUGGAACACCGGUGGCGAAGGCGGCCCUCUGGGCCGAGACCGACGCUGAGGCGCGAAAGCUGGGGGAGCGAACAGGAUUAGAUACCCUGGUAGUCCCAGCCGUAAACGAUGGACGCUAGGUGUGGGGGGA